AACGGCCGUACCAUGCUGAAUAUACCGGUUCUCGUUAGAUCACCGAAGUUAAGCAUCAUUGGGCGCGGUCUGUACUUGGGUGGGUGACCACCUGGGAACACUGCGUGCCGUU
rnacentral:rRNA from 1 species